rnacentral:lncRNA from 1 species
UGAAACAAUAUUCGUAAUUUGGUCUUGUAUGUUUAAAUGAAGUAAUUUAGGAUAAAUGAAAAUAUAAGAAUAAAGUAGAAGUUUAAACUUUGGUAUGUGAUACUAAUCCAUGCAUUUAAGAGGUAGGGUGUGUGGGUAUGUUUUAUUAAUACAUAGAUGUUAAGAAUAUGAUAUAUGAAGGGAUGAAUGGUUGCAUCAUGGUUGUUGAUGAAUGGUGAUAUAUUAAUAUCACAGAAAAAGGUUAUUGGGAGAAAGGGAUUAUAGGAAUGGCUAAUGAAUGAUGAAGAGAAGAUUAUGAUUGUGAUUACUCUAUCUUAGGCUCAGUACUUGGACCACUUCCAACACUGUUAUUCCCUCCUCUCCCACAUGGAAUCUCUCUUUCUUUAAUCUACUAUAUAUGCUUCUCCAUUUUUGUUCUAUUCAUUUUCAUCCAUCAACCAACCUACACCCUCUCUUCAUUUAUAGCACAAUUCUA